AAAAGACAGUUGCUGCAAAGAAAGUUGCUCAGCAUGAAAAAUGGAGGAUCAGAUAGGCUCUUCUGCAUCAUCAAUCGCCUUUAACCACCACCGAAACCAAGGCAAAACAAGAAAUGUCAGGCAUCAAGGUAGAUUGUCUAUACUUUGCAACUUAUUGAAGGAAGGGAAGGUUUUCGCUACUUAAAUCAUUCUUCGUUGGCCUGACAAAGAAGGUGACAGCCAGAAGUGAGAAAGAAGCCACAGAAGCUGAUCUGCAGACUGCCAAGACGCAGGUUGAAGCUACUGAUGAAGCUGUGGAUACCAAGAAGAGACUUCAUAAGCCCAUGUAAAUUCUCCACUUAAAAACCAUUCUUCAUGGCAAUCAAAUUACCCAGAACUUAAUUUUAACGCUGCAUUUAUGUAAAUACACAUACGUGGUUAAUUUUCA